UAGAAGUGCGGCUGCUUACCCUUGGGAGAACACAUUCCCAGUUAUACACAUGUUGCCAAAUCGCUCACAAGCUUGGCUGAACCAGUUCAUACCUUCACCAACGUGGAUACGAUACAUCCUAACAUGUUCCUUCUUCCACGUGCUCUUGGGCUUAAGUUCUUCAGACGUGAAUUCUUCCACCACCAGGGUUUUCCAGAUCCUGAACCCAGUGGCCCAGAAGAAAUGACUGACUCUUUUGGCCCUAAACAGCUUGCCCUUAUGGGCAACAGGUGGCUUACUUCAGGCUGGAGGACAUCGGUGUGCCAAGAAGGUCCCAGCAGAGACCUCACCUCUGAGCCCUGGUUCACCAGCCAAUGAAGAUGAACGGAGGUGACGUCAGUACAUCCUGUUUCCCAGCCCAGCCCAGCCCGAGAGGAUGGGACCAAGUGAGGAAAAGAGCCAAUACUACAAGGAAACAGGGCUAAGACACAAACAAAAACACAAGAAACCAAGCCUUCUUCUGAGAAGUUAUAAGAGGUCGGGAGAGGUCCUUAAUUAAACAUCGGAGAUCAAGGCAGGAGAAAAGCUCCCAACCAGGCCUCUUGACAGAUCCGAUCAGAUUUGGCACACAGCUAAGAAAGUUAAAAGAUUCAGGGUCGAUGAAUUCUCCCCAAGCCUAAGGCAGACCAGGAUUACACUAAAUAAAGGAUGGCAGCAUUGGUAAUGAAGAUGCUGGUUUACACUUCGGUGCUGGCGUUUCUUUGGAUCUAACUCCAACUGCAUAUCCUGUCUUAAAAUAAUAUUUUUUCUUCUUUGUUCUUGGUUAUUUUAACAAAAAGCUCUAUUUUAAUUAUUGAAAGAACACCAAUGCCACUAAAAAAGCACACUUCAGGGGCGCCUGGGUGGCUCAGUCGGUUAAGCCGCUGCCUUCGGCUCAGGUCAUGAUCCCAGGGUCCUGGGAUUGAGCCCCACAUCGGGCUCCCUGCUCAGCGGGAAGCCUGCUUCUCCCUCUCCUCUGCCGCUCCCCCAAUUCGUGCGCUCUCUCACUCUCUCUUUCUCAAAUAAAUAAAUAAAAUCUUUAAAAAAAGAAAAAGAAAAGCACACUUGAGUUCCUAAUGCUUUCAGGGAACCAAGCAAUUCAAGCCCGGCUAUCCGGUGGCAGUUUGUUGUAAAGCACUGGCGAGGAGCCUCAGGGGACCUAGACGAUCGCUAGAUGUGAACCCACAGAGUUCUGGUAAAUGCCAUAAUGCUUGACCAAUACUUAUUAAGAAACCCCACCCUGGAAGGGACUAGAUAUAAAAGCCUGAAAACACUGAUAGCCAAUGUUCUAAGGACGAGUGAAUGAACAGUGAGGGAGGAUCAGACACAGCAUUACCCUGUGGCGAUGCUCGUGAGUCUUGGGCAAACAUGGGAGCAAAUGGUCCAGGCCAUGUGGCCAGAGGGAGGCCCGGGACUUCUGGCAUAUCCCAUUCCUCUGGCUCCAUCUGUUUAGAUGGAAGGGAUGACAGGAAGAGUCCCUCAAAUCCUCACCUACACAAAGCGCUACACCUUCUGCAGAAGGCCGAGAUGCUCUGUGCCGUGUGAAGUCAGACCCCUUGGAGCGAGAUGUCGGGGUGCUGAGAUAUCCUGGGGCAAGUCCCUUGGCUCCGAGAUGUAGAAAAGGAAACACUGGGGUCCCGACAAAGAGAUCGCAAAGUACCCUGUGUCAGAAACACUUAUUUCUCACCGAAUACCCAUGUACUCCCCCACACUGCCAGGCCUCUUCUCCGAGAGGGGCCGUGUGGCUGAGAACAGACAUGACAGGUGUUGUUUCUGGACUGAAGCCCGGAGGAGCCGACCUCUGACACACCAGCUCUCUCUUUCUUGCGUCCUCCACCAGCCCACGUCACACCACUACAAGCCACCACAAGCCUGGGAGUUCCUGCAGGGUCGCCCCUCCUGGUCUAGCCUACGUGUCCUACGUGCCUGGUUCCUGUGUCCGUCCCAGCAGUCAGACUAGGAGGCCGAUAACCUCUUCCAGUGACGCUGGUGGGACCUUGAGGAAAUCGCUCUUCUUCUCUGGGUAUCAUUUUCCUCACGUGGACACUUAAGAGUUGGAGCAACACCAGUGGGUCUGCAAAGCACAGGGCUCUGUGAGGCCACCUUCAGACCCCAGUGCGCCCUUGUCAGCUGGCAGCUCAUGGCUGACGUCAGCGUCGAACCACAGGGGCCACCUUGACUGACAGCCAUGGCAUCCAAUGACACCACUUGCCGGGAGAGUCCUCGGACCAUUCUGAAGCUCAGGCUCCCGCCUGUAACAUGGGAAUGAGACCCGCCCUACCUCUUUCUGUGGGUCACGGUCAAAAUCAAACGAGAUCAUGAAAGUGCUUUGAAAAAGAAAAAGCAGUAUUGAAAUAUAAAGUGCUAGAUUACCUUUUUUUUAUUGUGACGGUUGUCAGCGCUCAAGUUUUACUAUUUAAUAAUAAGUCAAGAUUAUCAGAAGCUUGAUAACACACCAUAGCUGAAUACAGCAAGCGUUAUUUGUUGCGUACCCAAGAGCCAUUUCUACUCUCCUUCCAAGCUCAUGGGGAACCGUAAUUCUUUCAGGUGAGGACAGAGCUUUUCUUCAUCCACCUUGAUCUGCCCCAGCCCCAGGGGGAGAGUGAUGACUGGUCUCAAUCAGUCAUGGCAAUCACAUUCUACUUUGCCAGUGAUAGGGGUGGGCGUAAGUCCCAGGUCUGGUCAAUGAGAAAUAAGGGAAAAUGUGACUUCCCUGCCCCAACUUGAAACAGAAUUUCAAGAUAAGAAAACCUUUUGCCUCUGUCUUACUGGGCAAUCAUGUGAGGACAUGAUGCCUGAAGGGGUAGAAUCUAUCUUGCAACUGUGAAGCAAUAAGCACAAGGACACAAUGGAAGAAUAGAAGAUCAGAAGGAGCAGGAUUCCCUUCUUCUUCCCCUCCUCCUCCUUCCUCCUCCUCCUCCUCCUCCUCCUCCUCCUCCUCCUCCUCCUCCUCCUCCUCCUCUUCUUCUUCUUCUUCUUCUUCUUCUUCUUCUUCUUCUUCUUUUCUUCUUCUUCUGUUUUGCUUCUGAAUUUUAUUAUAGAGUCAAACAGACAAAGCACAGUCAGAUGAGGAGACAGAACAUUUAUGUGUGCAUGUCUUAGGCAGAAAAAUUGUAUCUGAACCAACAAAAUCUGUUCAUACAUACAUCAAUGUGCCUUUGAUCCAGACAUGUUUAGAAGGAGCAGGAUCCUUGAUGAUGCCACUGAGCUACUACGCCUGCCCUCCUCCAGGCUUCUGGUUAUAAGAGUUAACUAAAUGCUGUUGAUGCUGAAGUCACUGUUACUUGCAUCCAUUUGCAUAGGUAAAUUGGUGCAAUCUCUACAGAAUGUAACUUGGCAUAUAUUUCUAUUUGAUAUAUUUGAAUGUACAUGCCCUUUGACUCAACAAUUCUCCCACAGAAUUACCAGGAAUUUCUUCCACAGAUAUAGUUACCCAUAGGUAAGUAUAGUUACAUCACUAUAUUUAUUCAUAUUGAAAUGUAAUUACAUUAAAUAUUAAUUAAUUUAGGGGCACCUGGAUGGCUCAGUUGGUUAAGCGACUGCCUUCGGCUCAGGUCAUGAUCCUGGAGUCCCUGGAUCGAGUCCCGCAUCGGGCUCCCUGCUCGGCAGGGAGUCUGCUUCAUCCUCUGACCCUAUCCCCUCUCAUGUGUUCUCUCUCUCUCAUUCUCUCUCUCUCAAAUAAAUAAAUAAAAUCUUUAAAAAAAAUAUUAAUUAAUUUAAUUAAAUAUAUUGAUUCAAACAUGUAUGCAACAAUAUGUAAGAUUAAUGACAGUACAUCCAUAAAAUGAAAUAUAUGACUUUAAAAAGAUUGGCACAGCUCUAUGUAUACUGGUAGGAAAUUAUAUUCGAGACCAUUAAGAUAUAUGUAUGCUGGUAAGAAGUGAGAUUCUGGAUAUAUUA